GUUAAAAAUGUCAAUCACACAAGUACCAGAGUUCUGCGUGUGUAUGUGUGUGGGUAAAAUGUCUUGUUUCCAUCUUGUUUCCACUCAGACAUGUGGAGAUGUGGCAGAUGUGUCCUGUUUUUGUUUCAAGGUGAUAUUGGUGUUAGAAAAGGCCCUUGCUAGCUUUUGGUUUUGCAUUAGUACAUGGUUUAAGCAAUUACAUCUCCUUUUAUUUCUAUGAAGUCACACUUUUAACUAAAAUCUGGAGGAAAGAUGUUUUGUGCUAAGAAAGGACGUGUUUUUUUUUUUUUUUUUUUUUAGAAAAACUGGAAAUGGCAAUUUAUAGAUGUGGAUGAAUUAAUAAACACACAGCAACCUUUCAAAAUAAGAAAUUAGGUUGAGUAACCUCUUCUGUGUACGUAUGAUUCUGAGACUGUUAUUUUUAGUAAAAGAUAACAACUUAUUUUUAUCUUCCCCUCCGUUUCUUUCUCAGCACAUUUCUGCAGGUUAUGGAAAGCAUGUGUGGUUGAGGCAGAUAUGUUACUGGGAUUCAUUUAGGCAUGUAAGUGUUACUAAUCAGAUCCUGACUACUUUUGUUUUUCUUUUCUUCUUCCUUUCCUCUCUCAUUUUUUUUUUUCUCAUCGGUUUUGGUGGGAUGAUGCCAGCUUCCUUUUCCUCUCGCCAUGUCAGACCAUCUAUGGGAGCGAAGCAGACCAGGAAAAGCUCAUUAAAUGGCUAAGGAUAUUGAGGUUAUUCUGCCCAGUCAGAGCUGGUAAUAAAGGCUCAAAUACUGUGGAUCUGAGUGAGCAUGUAAAGAGUUACUUGCAGUUAAUCAUGUAUCCCAGAAUCCCUGUGCAGCCUUCCAUGGUGACCAACGUUCUGGUCUCAGUUUCACAGCUUGUUUCUAACUACUAGUCAGAAUCCAGAAUCCUUUUUUUGUGAGUCGGCCUCCUGGAACAGUCACUGGAAAUGACACCUGCGACGCAGCCGUGAUGGCUAUAAAAUGACAAAUUCGAAGAGGGGAAGGAGAAAAAGCGAGAAUGAGAGAAAAAGCAGGGGAAAAAAGUGUGUGACGGAGAGAGCAGGGUUUUCUCAGCGCUGGUAGGAGCAGAUGCAUUGCAAACGGAGAAGAGGAGGAGGCUGACUCGAUGAGACGAGCGAGAGAGAGACAAAAGACAGAGAAAGAGGGGGCCUCAUCAUAAAGAAUGUAAUACUGCCACUGUUGAACAUCAGCAGGGAGCUACAGGCAGAAGCCCUUCAGAGAAACUGUCCAGCUGCACCUGUGGGCAGGAGCUGAUGGGAUUAAUGUUUACACAUGGAAGCAAAAUGUCACAUACUUACUGCAGGCUUUCCCGUGAUUUUCAAGAGUACUGCCAUCAG